CCUGAGCCUGCCCUGGCCCAGCCUGAGGCCGUUCCCUCUGCUCCUGUCCCUGUUCCCUGGAGCACAGCCCGACCCCCCGGCUGUCCCCUCCUGGCAGGAGCUGUGCAGAGCCACAAGGGCCCCCCUGAGCCUCCUUUGCUCCAGGCUGAGCCCCUUCCCAGCUCCCUCAGAGCCUUCCCCAGCUCUGUAGCCUUCCCUGAACACACCCCAGCCCCUCCAGGUCUCACUUGUCCAAGACUGACCCCAGGAUCUGAGGUCCCUCAGCAGUGCCCAGCACAGGGAUUGUCACUGCCCUGGUCCUAUGGCCACACUGUGGCUGAUGAUUAUCUUAUAACCCCGGUGUCCCUAAUUUUGGGUGGCUUACAUGGGAAUGUGAUUCAUGAUUUUUCCUCUUGUCAUCUCCCCCACCCUCCUUGCACAUCUGCACCUCAACUCAGGGCACAGGGACAGCACAGCACCCACCACCCAGACUGGAUUCACUCUCCAGCUCAGUUGUUAUUCCUUAAUAUCUCUCUACAUCAGUUUUGGGUAUGACAACAAAACAUGAACAAAAGUGUAGAGCCUAGUGCCCAGUAGGGUAAUAGAUAGUGAAAGAUGGAUGAAGAACUAGAUAUUCAUGGGGAAUAUAUUCUUCAUGAAGGACAUCAGCUGCAGACAGGAAAGGAAAUUGCAGCAUUGCCUAAGAGCAGCGUUAGCAAGUUCUGACAGCUUGUUAAAAGCCGCGACCAAAGGCAGGGUGAUGCACAUCGAUCACCCGUGGCAGGGACCUCGUGGAGCUUGGCCUGGGCUGGCCCUUGGCCAUAUCUCUGAGCAUAGUGAUGUUAUUACCACUUGUAUUUCUGCUGGCAGGAAGCUCUUGCCUACAGCUGCAAACCAAUAUAAACUCCAACUUUCUGGGUCAUCAGAAAUGUAAUGGACAAAGUGCUCUCUGCAGUUACCUCAUCCAUAAGAUAACUGAGUUAAAGCACGAACACUGUGGCAAAACUUGUUCACCGUCCCUUCUUUGCUGGUUCUCCUUUCUUUUUAAACACUUCAUUUCACAAACAUUUCAUUGCAUAAACAUGGAACAGAGCAAAGCUUAACAGGAACGGGUUUGAAUUAGUAAACAGCAGAGGAAAAAACAUCCAAAA